GACGAACGCUGGCGGCGUGCUUAACACAUGCAAGUCGAACGGUGAAAGCGGAGCUUGCUCCGCUGGAUCAGUGGCGAACGGGUGAGUAACACGUGGGCAACCUGCCCCUCACUUCGGGAUAACUCCGGGAAACCGGGGCUAAUACCGGAUAUGACCUCCUUGGGCAUCCUUGGAGGUGGAAAGUUUUUCGGUGAGGGAUGGGCCCGCGGCCUAUCAGCUUGUUGGUGAGGUAGUGGCUCACCAAGGCGACGACGGGUAGCCGGCCUGAGAGGGCGAGCGGCCACACUGGGACUGAGACACGGCCCAGACUCCUACGGGAGGCAGCAGUGGGGAAUAUUGCACAAUGGGCGGAAGCCUGAUGCAGCAACGCCGCGUGAGGGAUGACGGCCUUCGGGUUGUAAACCUCUUUUAGCAGGGAAGAAGCGAGAGUGACGGUACCUGCAGAGAAAGCACCGGCUAACUACGUGCCAGCAGCCGCAGUAA
rnacentral:rRNA from 1 species